GAUGAACGCUGGCGGCGUGCCUAAUACAUGCAAGUCGAGCGAACAGACGAGGAGCUUUCUCCUCUGACGUUAUCGGCGGACGGGUGAGUAACACGUGGAUAACCUACCUCUCAGACUGGGAUAACUUCGGGAAACCGGAGCUAAUACCGGAUAAUAUAUUGAACCGCAUGGUUCAAUAGUGAAAGACGGUUUUGCUGUCACUUAUAGAUGGAUCCGCGCCGCAUUAGCUAGUUGGUAAGGUAACGGCUUACCAAGGCAACGAUGCGUAGCCGACCUGAGAGGGAGAUCGGCCACACUGGAACUGAGACACGGUCGAGACUCCGACGGGAGGCAGCAGUAGGGAAUCGUCCGCAAGGGGCGAAAGCCGGACGGAGCAACACCGCGUGAGUGAUGAAGGUCUACGGAUCGUAAAACGCUGUUAUUAGGGAAGAACAAAUGUGUAAGUAACUAUGCACGUCUUGACGGUACCUAAUCAGAAAGCCACGGCUAACUACGUG
rnacentral:rRNA from 1 species